UUGAACUUGUGUUUGUGGUGUGUUUGAACUUGAGUUUGUGUGUUUUGUUGAACUUAAGGUUGUUGCAAUUUUUAAACUUGAGAUUUGGGAAUUUGUUAAACUUGAGUUAUUGUGUUUGUUGAACUUGAGUUCGUGUCGUGUUUGAACUUGAGUUUGUGGUGUUUUUGAGCUUGAGUGUGUGGUGUUUUUGAACUUGAGUUUAUGAUAUUUUUGAACUUGAGGUUGUGGAAAUUGUUUAACUUGAGAAUUGAGUAUUGUUUGAACUUGAGUUUUUUUGUUUUUGAGCUUGAGUUUGUGUCGUGUUUAAACUUGAGUUUGUCGUGUGUUUGAACUUGAGUUUGUGUGUUUUUUGAACUUGAGGUUGUGGCAAUUGUUAAACUUGAGAUUUGGGUGAUCGUUGAACUUUAGUUUGUGUCGUGUUUGAACUUUAGUUAAUGUUGUUUGUUUAACUUGAGUUUGUCUGUUUUUUUAACUUGAGGUUUUGACAUUUUUUAAACUUGAGAUUUGGGUAUUGGUUGAACUUGAGUUAGUGUGUUUGUUGAACUUGAGUUCGUGUUGUGUUUGAACUUGAGUUUUUAGUGUUUUUGAACUUGUGUUUGUUUCAUGUUUGAACUUGAGUUUGUGGCGUUUGUUGAACUUGAGUUUGUGGUGUUUGUUGAACUUGAGUUUGUGUCAUGUUUGAACUUGAGUUUGUAGUGUGUUUGACCAUGAGUUUGUGGUGUGUUUGAACUUAAGUUUGUGUGUUUGUUGAACUUGAGGUUGUGGCAAUUUUCAAGCUUGAGAUUUGGAUGUUGGUUGAACUUGAGUUUGUGUGUUUUUUGAAUUUGAGUUCGUGUUGUUUGUUGAACUUGAGUUUGUGGAAAUUUUUAAACUUGAGAAUCAGGUGUUGGUUUAACUUGAGUUUGUGGUUUUUGGUAGACCUGAGUUUGUGUCGUGUUUGAACUUGAGUUUGUGGUGUUUUUGAACUUGAGUUUGUUUCGUGUUUGAACUUGAGUUUGUGGCAUUUGUUGAACUUGAGUUUGUGAAAAUUUUUAAACUUGAGAAUCAGGUGUUGGUUGAACUUGAGUUUAUGUGUUUUUUGAACUUGAGUUUCUGUUGUUUUUGAACUUGAGGUUGUGGAAAUGGUUAAACUUGAGAAUCAGGUGUUGGUUGAACUUGAGUUGCGUGUUUGUUGAACUUGAGUUUGUGCCGUGUUUGAACUGGAGUUUUUGUCGUUUUUGAUCUUGAGUUUGUGUGUUUGUUGAACUUGAGUUUGUGUUGUGUUUGAACUUGAGUUUGUCUCGUGUUUGAACUUGAGUUUGUGUCGUGUUUGGUGAACUUGAGAUUGUGUGAUUAUUGAACUUGAGUUUCUGUUGUUUUUGAACUUGAGGUUGUGGAAAAGGUUAAAUUUGAGAAUCAGGUUUUGGUUGAACUUGAGUUGCGUGUUUGGUGAACUUGAGUUUGUAUUGUAUUUGAACCUGAGUUUUUGGUGUUUUUGAACUUGUGUUUGUGUGUUUUUGAACUUGAGUUUGUGUGUUUGUUGAACUUGAGUUUGUGUUUUUUUUUAACUUGAGUUUGUGGUGUUUUUGAACUUGACUUUGUUUCGUUU